ensembl:snoRNA Gm23747 small nucleolar RNA SNORA17
CCUGACCCUAGAGGCCUUGCAGGUGUGGCUGCUGUGUCACAUGUGCAUCAGUAGGUGGCAGAGAGGAGAGAGAUUACAUCUAUGCUGUGGGUUCUGAACUAUGACAUCUGAGUGAUUAGUAGUCUAAUAUU